rnacentral:misc_RNA from 1 species
GAAAUGCGAUAAGUAGUGUGAAUUGCAGAAUUCAGUGAAUCAUCAAAUCUUUGAACGCACAUUGCGCUUCCUGGUAUUCCGGGGAGCAUGCCCGUUUCAGAAUCAUUUAAUUCUCAAACAAACUUGUUUGUUUGGAAAUGAUUAGUCUGAUUUUUCCAAAUCAGUCUGAUUGAAAAUGAUUGUGCAUGCCGGCCCAAGAGUCCGGAAGCUUCAACUGCAGCAGAUUUAUCUAUUCUUUUGAAGCUUUCCGUUUUGAGUCUUGGGAAUCGUUUGCUGCCUCAACUUAGUAUACAGUGAAUUAGUUCUGUGGAACUGAUUCCUGAAAACUUGGUCUGAAAUCGGGCAAGAAAACCCGCUGAACUUAA